rnacentral:misc_RNA from 1 species
AUCGCCUGAUGCACCCCCGCACGUGCUCGCAACAACAGUGUCGCAAUCCGCGGUGCGAGAGUAUUCAAAAGUGCAGACGCCGUAACUCAUCUAUUCCACGUUAUACGCGUGCAUCCACCUUUUCAGCGCGCAACGAGACAGUCCGAGAGGAGGGGGUGGCAGGGCCGCGUGCGCAGGCUCGCCGCUCGACCCCGCCUCACUUUCACUCGCUCUUGCGCCUCUCUGGUUUUCCUUCAAUUGCUCGUACGUUAUGGCCACGUUGAAGGUGACCGUCCAUGAAGCGCGUGACCUCCCAAUCAUGGACCGGGCGACUGGGCUGGCCGACCCGUACGUCGUCGUGAAGCUCGACGACAUGGAGCACACUACCGACAUUGCCCAUCUCACCCGAAACCCGGUCUGGGAGCACGACGUGCGUUUCGACACAGCCGAUCUGCUUGUGCUGCAGGAGGACCCGCUGGAGAUCCGCGUGUACGACCACGACAUCAUCAGCCGCGACGACAUUGUCGGCAUGGUACUGCUGGACUGCAACAGCAUCAUCUACCGCGCCAACCCGGUGGUGUCAGGGUGGUUCCCGCUGCUAGACUCUGGCGCCGGGCUCCACGGCGACAUCCGUCUUACCAUCCGCAUCAAGUUCCACGCAGCCGAGAACCCGCUGGCGCCGGCGCUGCCGGAGCGGUACGUGCGCCGGCUUGACCCCCGCGUCGCCGAGCGUUUGUCUUCGCUGGCGGCCGCCAUACCAGGCGGCAACGGUGGCCACGUUCAACACGCGAACAGCAACCCCCGCACGAACGAAACCAGCGUCAGCUUCUCAAUGGUGACCUCGGCGACUGGUUUGAACGCAGCGACGACGCAGAGCAGCUGUGUCGCACCCAUAAGCAGCAGCGGCAACCACGUAGCAAGCUCUGAGCAUAGCCCACGAGGCCUCAUCAAUGAGCCGUGCAGGAUCUCUGCCAGCGGCGUCAACGUGAACAAGAAAAACGUGAGCGUCGGCCUUUCGACAGCUGGUGCUGGCCACCACCAUCAUCACCAUCGCAGGCACCGAUCGACUUCACGGAAGCUGACAGGCGCGCGGCGCUUGUCCAAGGCGCCGUGGCACGCCCCCUCGCACAGCGGCGGCGGCGGCACAUUUGAAGCGGGCACAGACGUCCCGUCCCUCGCCGGCGCGAGCUUCAGCCUGGCGAAUAAUAACGUCAGCGCUUCCACCAUGAGCAGCAGCGCAAACUUCGCGCGCUACGACCCGUCGGUCUUGUUUGCCGGUCCAUCUGGCGCCACAACAACGGAGGCAGCGGUGGCCAUGGCAGCCGCUGCGGCAGUGGAAAACUCCGCGAUGCCGCUGCCUCUUCCUUCGCCGGCGCUGUUUCCUUUCCUGGUGGAGCAGGACUUGGACCCGCUGCGGGCGGCCCGCGUAGACCACCCGACGCUGGCCGCCGAGGAGGAGGGCAUAUUUGUGUUUAGCGUCUGGCGGCUCGACCCGGCGGUGUUUCGCGUGGAGUCGACGCACAGCAUGAUGGAGGAGCUCAUCGUAAAGGCCGACCCCGAGCACGUGCGUUUCACAAACCUGCGCAGCAGCCGCAGCAUCAACGAUGCCCGAGUUAUUCAGCUCUUCAAACUCAGCGGCAAGGUGCGACGGCAACUCGCGCGCAAGGUGGUCGAGCUGCAAUGCAACGCAGUGCUUGGUUACGUGGAGGAGUUCGACAUGGAGCCGAACGGUAUUAUCGUUCGGGCGUACGGCACGCCGUGUGUGGUGUCGCAUGUGAAGUACGUUGACCAGCGCGAGAUGGAGGCGUUGCUCCGCGGGAAGUCGCGCUACAUUCGGUCGAGCAUGAUGGCAGCGUAUCAGGAGGAGUUCCCCGGUGCGUCGAUGGCAGCGGCACCACCUCGGUCGCACAGUCCCGCGCUUCCGUCGUACGGCUUGUCGCCAAUCCUGAGCAACGGAGGAGUGGGCGGGAACGUCGGCGGCACCUCCACCCCGGCCACCCCAUCGGGGCCGACGCAGUCAGCGGACCUCAUCGCACUGGGCAACACAAUGGCAGCUCUGCCGCUACACCUGCCAACGACCAACGCCUCCUCCACUCCCAUGGCCGCCCAUGAUCAUCUGCUGCCUCCUUCCAUGUCCGCCUGCUCCUCGCAGCUCGGCACCUCGGCACAGCAGCGGCAGUCUGACCAUGCUGUGGCCGCCGCCUCAUGGGCAAGUACGCCGCUCUCGAGCAAGGAGGCAGUGGCGCCGACAGCAGUCCAGUCGCCGCGAUCAACGCCAGAGACCUACGCGAGUGCCAUGGAGACAGGCGACGGAGUUGACAGCUCAGGCGUGCCGCUGCUGUCGCUCGACAAUGGGGGUGGCAGGGCGGGCCUCAGCGCAGCCGCGCCGGCUUCCGCUCUAGCUGGGGCGCUGAGUGCUAACUCCACAACGCAUCAUCACUCGCAGGCUGCCCUCACGCUCGCCAAAAAUGCUCAGUGCUCAUCUCCGCCCUUCAGCCGCAGCUUCGUGGCACCCUCUGUGGACGCCACCGUACCCAUGCUCCCCGACGCGCUCAUGCAGCAGCCGUCCCAUGCGAACCUGAUGAUGCGGAGCGGCCCCACCGACACCGCGGUGGCGACCGUCGCAGCUACCCCAGCGACCGCGCCACCGAUGACGAACGCGCUUAUCGCUGCAAGCGGCGCCGCAGCUGGUGGCGGCCCGCCAGCGCGUGUCAUUAUAUCGAUGCUCACCGUCAAGGACCUUCCCGCCGGUUCUAUCCACCACAUUGGAGGCUACAUCUGCGCCCGCUCCGUGAAGAUUGUCUCGCGGGUCAAGUCGCGGCAGAUAAUCUCGCAGGAACGCGAUGCGUGGUGGAUGGAGCUGCGCGAGGAGCUGCGUGCCAACGCCCGCGCGUUCCACUGCAACACCGUGCUAGGCUAUGAAGAAGAGACGCAGUAUCACGAAGACGUCGUUCUGCUUUCCUUGUAUGGCACGGCGGUGAUGCUGAACAUGUCAGCCGCAUCGCUACGUGCCGGUCCCGAGCACCUUUUUUCCUGGCAGAAGCAGCGCGUCGCGUCCAAGCGCAACUGCGCCCUUCUGCACCUCUAUGAAGGAUCACGUCGGAAGGGCGGCCUGGGCUUCCUCGCCGGCGAAGUUGGCGAUCUUCUCAUGCACCACGUCUGCAGCAUCUGCCACAACAAGCCCGUUCCGGACGUGCUGCUGGCUGCGUGCACGCUGCCCGUCGAGCUGAACUGCGAGACGCCACCGCGGCUCGUGCAGGUGGCCGUGUCGAAGCCAAAGGCAAACGUGAAGGGGGUCGAGCUCGCCAUGGCAGUGUCGCAGGCGCUUCCCUUCAUCGAAUUCGCCUUGCACAAGCAGCUUCUCUUCAACCUCCGCCUGCAGCAGCUGAACGCGUGCUUCUCGCUCCGGGUCUCCAUCGUUGUCGGGCACGACGCCAUUAUCGGUAUGCUGACAGGGUCGGGCUGUCGCUUGGCGGGCCUGCCCGUGCCGCGGCUGCCUCGUGUGACCGUGGUGGACCAGCAGAUCGCGCACAAAGAGAGUGUGGUGAAGCUUCGCGACGUGAUCGCCUCACGUCGACGCCGCCGCAACACUGCACACUCCAGCAGCAGCCGAAGCACUUCGUCCUCCUCGUCCUCCAGCAGCUGUUCAUCGAGGCCCGCCGCUGCAGCGCAGUCGUCUGCGAUGCCAGGCGCCGACGGGGCGGUGCCGGCGCCGGCGGUGGCGGCAGCGGGGCUGCGCGGUGGUGGGUCUAGAGACAACGUUCGUGGCAUCGGCUCGACCGGCACGAAGGCGUCCAGCGCCGCCUUCACCGUUCGCUCUUUAUCGACUUCGUCAACCUCACACACCGACUCCUCGUCUUCCUCCUCAUUUAAGCGGUGCAAGCGGCAUCGCCGUCGACGUCGGCGCCAUCGUGCGCGCGGCAAGCGCGGGCGAGGCAACCGUGGCUCGUCAUCGCCGUCGCGUGGCCCUUCGCGGUCCCCCUCAGAGGCAGAUGCACUUCCGUCGACGACGUCUGGAAUCGAGUCGCUGCACAGCAGCCAGAGCCGCGACGCUGCGGCCGCGCCGGCUCAGAAGUGGCGUCGACACCGUCGCACGCGACACGCGAGCGCAUGUGCCUCGGCUGUCGCAGCAGCAGGAGCAGCGGCAGCUGGCGCUAGCAGGAGAGCUGGCGCCACCCCAGGCUCUCCGUCACGAGGGGCCACGUUGCCGAAGUCACGAUCGCCCUCUCCCUCUGCUGUGACGUCAUCGUCGCGCCCGUACAGCUCGUCCCGCUCCUCGUCCAGCAGCAGCAGCACCAGCAGCCGUACCCUCAGCACAUCCCCCUCAAAAGUGUCUUUACAUUCUUGGGUGCUGACGGAGUCGAGUAUGACGGACGAGGACGUUUACGCGCCGGCUGAUGAAUGGCGCACAACCAGCGGCGGCGUGCGCACAAAGGCGCGCGACUACGUGGUCAAGAUCGACGAUGUCGAGGAGGCGGACAUGAUGCUGGGCAUGGUGGACACGACGAACUUCGAGGAUGGGGUGCUGCUUACGCUGCCGUACGUGCCGGACAGCGCGAACGCCUUUGACUGGCAGGAACGCAUCGUGCUGUACCGGCGCUACUCGCGUGCGUCGGCCUUGCCCUUUGGCGGCGGCGGUGGCACUGGGGCGGCCGCGCUGAUGGGCAGUGUGAACAUGAGCGGCGGUCUUAGUUCCUACGGCGCCACGCGGAGCCGAAGUGUGCUUGGAGCCAGCGUAAUGGGCAGCAGCGGUGCUUACCAAAACUGUAGUGACCCUGCAUCAGCGGCAGCCGGUGGAGGAGACGGCAUGAACGCCGGUGGGGGUGCAGCAGCAGCCGGUCGCAUGGCGCUCACAACGCGACUUCUCAACGAAUACUGCGCGGACGCCAAGCGCGCCUUUGUGCACCGGGCAUGUCGUAUGGCGAUGCGCACCGGGCAGCCGCUGCGGCUGCGUGUUGUGAACUUGAGAGUGGAGAUGAUGUUUGUGCCGAACAGCGCCGACCUGCAGCUGCGACUCGAGGGCUGUGUGAUGGUGGCCAGCAGUGCUGGCGCACGGCAGCUUCGCCAGCUCGAGGAUCGCGCCUUUCGCGUGUGCAUGCAUUACACGAUGGAGUCCCUGUCGGGGCUGCAGCAAUACCAGCAGCAGCAACAGCAGUAUCCGAGUCAGGCCAGCCAGAGCAACCACGGCGGCGGUUCCGCGGCGGGGCAGCGCGCGGCUGGUGCAACUCCCAUCAUGGCCGUCAACGCUGUCGCCUCAGGCAAGGCCUCGCCUUACCUGCGGUGGAAACCGAACACGCCCGUGCUUUCCCCUCUGAUGGUAGAUGCCGCGAGCAACAACCUCGUCACCACCUCGUUGGGCGGGCCCGCAGCCGCUGCUGCUGCAGCAGUGCAGACGGCGUCGUCGCAGAACUCGGUGUUGCCGUCGAUGCCGCAGCCACUUGCGGCAUAUGCAGCGAACUCUAUGUGCGGCAUGCUAGCGAUGAGUUCCGUGCUGGCGACAGUUGACUCGGGACCGGCGUACAUUGACGCGCGGCGACUGUUCACCACCAGUAACGCACCCUUCUCCAUUCCGUACGUGCAGGACAUCACUGUGCCACCGCCGCGCGUGUGGAGCGGCGUCGCCACCGCCGUGUCGGAAGACACCGCCGCCCCGGUGCGGCACACCUCAACCUACGCCGAGUACCGUGACAGCCGUGGCUCGCGCACAAACUCGCUGACGCGGCGCUGGAACGCCUUUGUCCGGGCAACCGGGCAGUCCAUCAAGAGCCUCGUCGACCGCGCCACCGGCGGUGGCACGGGAGAUCGGCGAAUGCAGCAGCAGCAGCGGCAGUGGCUAUCCUCAUCCAUUGUGUCGGACGCCUCGGUUAGAGCGGGCGAGGAAAACGGCAGGUCGCUCAUGUCCGCUGGUGGCACGGCUGGUGGCCCAUCCUCCAUGACUGCCGCUGCCCGCGACGCCAACUACUGCAACCCCGCAGCGCGCCUGCCGAAGGAUAUAUCGCAGCUACAGAUGUUCAUCCCUGUAGUGCUCUUUACCCCGCUCGACUACGUUGCCGGCCGCUCCAUCGUCCGUUACCUCGGCCGCCUCUCGCAGCACUUCAUCCGCGAAGACUACGACACCGACACCGGCGACGGCCUCAACAUGUUCUUCCAGCGUGCGGAGACGGAGAUCGUGUGCGUGGUGCAGGCCCUUGUGCGGCUGAUGGGUGGCAACGCGCUACUAAAGCACCGCAUUGUGUAUCACGAGAUCUGCGACUCGGAUGGAUCCGGCAGGGCCUUCUUGUUCGCGACCGUUACGGGUGAUGUGGUGCAGGUGAGUGAUACCGUGUACUGGGGGAAGCACGCGCAGCCGCAGCGGCAGCAGAAGGACGGCAGCGCGCGAAAGAACGAGAAGGAGGUCGCCACAGGCGACUUCUCCGACGACGGUGACAGUGACGGCGCCGGCAGCAGAAAGGAGUGAUCGCCUCAGUGCCGGCGGUGUUGGUGACAAGAGGGACACACACACGUGUCGCGCAGCCGUACACGGCACAGUCGGCGCCGCUCCUCUGCCUCCUCUCACGCCGAUGCCCCGUGGUGAGUAGCGCCGCGUCUGCUCCGCGUGGGGCACGUUUGUCGCCAGAUCGGCGAGUCACUGCAGCCCGAGCAUGACGCUCGCAGCUGGGACACCUCUGAGUUGUGGGAAAUGUAGGCACGUGCGGGCUUGCGGGAGGAAGGCCGGAAAAAAACAUGUGUCUACCGCCGCUGUCCGAUCGACUGGAGUGCAAGGGUGUGAGGGUACGUGAUCAGGUUUGCUUAAAUCUCUUGUUGUCCACUCUCUCUCGCUGGCUACAUGUCCAAGUACAUGCCUCUGUGUGUGUAUGUGUGUGUGUGUGUGCAAUGAAAAGAUGCCCAAGAGCGCG